AGGACGAACGCUGGCGGCGUGCUUAACACAUGCAAGUCGAGCGGAAAGGCCUUUCGGGGUACUCGAGCGGCGAACGGGUGAGUAACACGUGAGUAACCUGCCCCCUACUUUGGGAUAACCCUCGGAAACGGGGGCUAAUACCGGAUAUGACCUGAUUGGGCAUCCAGUUUGGUGGAAAGUUUUUCGGUGGGGGAUGGGCUCGCGGCCUAUCAGCUUGUUGGUGGGGUAAUGGCCUACCAAGGCGACGACGGGUAGCC
rnacentral:rRNA from 1 species